UGCGGAGGGAUCAUUACACAAUAAAAUAUGAAGGCUGUACGCGGCUGUGCUCUCGGGCCAGUUUUGCGGAGGCUGAAUUAUUUAUUACCCUUGUCUUUUGCGCACUUGUUGUUUCCUGGGCGGGUUCGCCCGCCACCAGGACCACAUCAUAAACCUUUUUUAUGCAGUUGCAAUCAGCGUCAGUAUAACAAAUGUAAAUCAUUUACAACUUUCAACAACGGAUCUCUUGGUUCUGGCAUCGAUGAAGAACGCAGCGAAAUGCGAUACGUAGUGUGAAUUGCAGAAUUCAGUGAAUCAUCGAAUCUUUGAACGCACAUUGCGCCCUUUGGUAUUCCAAAGGGCAUGCCUGUUCGAGCGUCAUUUGUACCCUCAAGCUUUGCUUGGUGUUGGGCGUUUUUUGUCUUUGGUUGCCAAAGACUCGCCUUAAAAGGAUUGGCAGCCGGCCUACUGGUUUCGCAGCGCAGCACAUUUUUGCGCUUGCAAUCAGCAAAAGAGGACGGCAAUCCAUCAAGACUCCUUCUCACGUUUGACCUCGGAUCAGGUAGGGAUACCCGCUGAACUUAAGCAUAUC
rnacentral:rRNA from 1 species